UACAGAGGGUGCAAGCGUUAAUCGGAAUUACUGGGCGUAAAGCGCGCGUAGGCGGCUGAUUAAGUCGGAUGUGAAAGCCCCGGGCUCAACCUGGGAACUGCAUUCGAUACUGAUCGGCUAGAGUAUGAGAGAGGGAGGUAGAAUCCACGUGUAGCGGUGAAAUGCGUAGAUAUGUGGAGGAAUACCGGUGGCGAAGGCGGCCUCCUGGGCUUAAUACUGACGCUGAGGUGCGAAAGCGUGGGGAGCAAACAGG
rnacentral:rRNA from 1 species